AUAACGGCCUGUCAGCCCCUAAGAAGAGAUGAAGAAAUUUAUCUCCCCCCACCUUGUUAGAGAGAUGGGGGUCUAUGAUGUGCAAAUCAAGUCAGAACUUUUAUUAGUAUUCACUGUCAUUAGCUUUUAGGUUGGCUUUGCCCAUUUUUAUUUUUGCAAUGAAAAGCUCAUUGUCUAGGGAUUUAGAUGUGCCAAGUGAGAGAACAUGAGGGGUUUGUUCAGAGGAGUAUAAUCAGAACAAAUGAUUAUGAUGUAAGGACAAAAAUAAUUGAUGUAAAGAGUGGGAAAAAAAUCAAUCUAUCAAGACUUAAACUAUUAAUCUUUUCCUAUACAACAACCUAACAGGUCUUUGUUUUGCUAUGAUAAAAAAAAAAAUAACUGACAUUUUUAUGAUAAAAUAUAAUAUGUGGCCCUCUAUAUUAUCCAAAGACCCCUUCAGACGAUGAACAUAUUGGCAAAGGUGAUUAGCUUUUGUUCAUAUACUAAAGCCUGAGUUAAAGAAACAGGAAAAAAGCAAACUUUUAGGAGAGAGAUAAUUAAAUGAGAUUGAGACAUUGUCACUGAGAAAAAGAUUGGGGAGAAUGGACAGGGAAUUGGCAAAGAAACACCCAAACCAAAAUGUUCCUAUUUCCUAAUCUUGUUCCUUCCCUACUUUAAACCUCUACAAGCCCAGGGACAAGACUGGGUUUUCUAGAAAGUUCCCCUGCCCUGCCCACUUGACUAUAGCCCUGCCUAAUGCCAUCACCUUCUAUGACAUCAUGGGGAUGGAAUGAAAGUCCUGAGCGAGAGGCUUGAGAAUAUGCAGGUCGGACAGGAAGGCAUCAUUUGGAAAAGAAAAGCGGUGUUAUCCAGAAGAGUUGGUGCUGCUUCUGUGGAGAAAAAACAGAGCAUCCUAAUAUUGCUGAUUUUGUCGCUCUAUGUGGCCAUGUGGAUAUCAGAAAAAAGCGCAGACAGCACAAAAGGGAUCCAAGAAUGCAAUUACUCUAGGAGUCAUGAAGCUUCCAAGAGCUUUGAUGAUCAAUUCAAGAAUCAACCAAAGGAACCAGUGAGGGCUAUGGGACUAUGGUUGAGAGAGAACCUGGACACCCUUCAGGAGAGAAUGGAACAAGAAGUAAGGGCCCUGGAACAACGGGUGAAAGACCUGGAAGAAUGGCUAGAUUAUCACUUACGGGAUCUAGGGCCAGAUGAAAAGUGUGUAACCCUCACGAAUCACUUAUGAGCAUUCUGGCGAUGAAGCUGGAAUGGCCUAUUCAUGGAGCUGAUGAAAACACUUCUGACUGCAAUGCAAUAUGACAAGAACAGGCUUGGUUACUAACUGCUCUAUGUGGUAAAACAAAGAAUAAAAUAAUUUGAAAACCAAGCA
rnacentral:lncRNA from 1 species